UCCACCCAAUCGAUAUUAGGUGUUCUUAGGGGAGAACGGGAUGAAGACUCAGCUCUUAUUGCAAAUGUUUUGGGCACAGUUGUUUCGUAUAAUUUCAAGAGUAAGAAGGUUGAGGUGCUGCUAUCUGAGCUCCAAUGGAAGGAUGAUAUUAGGAGUAUUUCUGCUGGACCUCCAUUUGUUCCUGCAUAUCCACUGAUUGCAAGCCUACAU
rnacentral:lncRNA from 1 species